ACGUAGUUGCUGGCAUGUGGGUAGGGAUAACAAUCCAACUCGUUGUUCGUAAGCCGGCUUAUGUUCGGCUCGAAAUGAGCUCGAAAUCGAAUCGCUCGUUUAGUAAACAAGCCGAACACGAGCCGAAUUUUUCGGCUUGUUUAUUAAAUAAGCCGAACACGAACUGGGAUCAGCUCGAUAACAGCUCGAAUACAUAUAUUUUAUAUUUAUAUAAUUUAUUUAAUUUAUAUUUAUAUAUAUAAAUAAAUAAUUAUAUAUAUAAUAUAUAUUUUUAUUAUUUAAUUUUUAGCAAAAUAAAAAUAUAAAGACAAGCUCAAUUAUAAAAAAACUCAUUUAUAUGUAAAGUUUCAACUAUUAGAUCAAAGUCUAAUGGAUAAGAUUUUAUAAAUUUAUUUUGUAUAUGUUCAAUCUAAUCCUUUUAACUUAUUGUUCGUUGGCCAGCUCGUGAGCCAGCUCGUGUUCAGCUCGUUUAUUAACAAACCGAACACGAGCUGAAUUUUUGACUCGAUACUUUAACGAGCGAGCUCGUAUUCGGCUCGUUUACACCCUUACAC
rnacentral:lncRNA from 1 species